GGGGAGCAUUAUUGAAAAUUUGAAAUAUUUUUGAAAAUCUGUGAAAACUUAAUGCAUUUGACUGUCUUAUAAUUAAAUCAUACAUAUUGUACAUCUUGAUCAUAAUAAUUAUUCUUUAAUGAGUGCUCAAUAUUUUGUCAUCAUUAAAAAGAGAAAAAUUGUUGCCCCCCCAAAGUGAUUUUGAUGAUGACCAAACAUUGAAGCACACAAUUACUAAUAUUUUCUUUUUAAGUGUGGAA
rnacentral:lncRNA from 1 species